rnacentral:tRNA from 1 species
GCCGGUGUAGCUCAGUUGGCUAGAGCAGCUGAUUUGUAAUCAGCAGGUCGUGGGUUCGAAUCCCUCCAUCGGCU